UACGUAGGGCGCAAGCGUUAUCCGGAAUUAUUGGGCGUAAAGAGCUCGUAGGCGGUUUGUCGCGUCUGCCGUGAAAGUCCGGGGCUCAACCCCGGAUCUGCGGUGGGUACGGGCAGACUUGAGUGCAGUAGGGGAGACUGGAAUUCCUGGUGUAGCGGUGAAAUGCGCAGAUAUCAGGAGGAACACCGAUGGCGAAGGCAGGUCUCUGGGCUGUAACUGACGCUGAGGAGCGAAAGCAUGGGGGAGCGAACAGG
rnacentral:rRNA from 1 species